AACGAACGCUGGCGGCAUGCCUAACACAUGCAAGUCGAACGAAGCCUUCGGGCUUAGUGGCGCACGGGUGCGUAACGCGUGGGAAUCUGCCCUUGGGUACGGAAUAACAGUUAGAAAUGACUGCUAAUACCGAAUGAUGUCUUCGGACCAAAGAUUUAUCGCCCAAGGAUGAGCCCGCGUCGGAUUAGCUAGUUGGUGAGGUAAAGGCUCACCAAGGCGACGAUCCGUAGCUGGUCUGAGAGGAUGAUCAGCCACACUGGGACUGAGACACGGCCCAGACUCCUACGGGAGGCAGCAGUGGGGAAUAUUGGACAAUGGGCGAAAGCCUGAUCCAGCAAUGCCGCGUGAGUGAUGAAGGCCUUAGGGUUGUAAAGCUCUUUUACCCGGGAUGAUAAUGACAGUACCGGGAGAAUAAGCCCGGCUAACUCCGUGCCAGCAGCCGCGGUAAU
rnacentral:rRNA from 1 species